UCAUGAUCUGAUGGGCUGUAGGGAAGAAACCAUCCCAGACGGAUGCACUUCGGAGACCACAGACAGUCCUAGAAUCACAGAGAGAUUAGUGAAUCUCCAGUGCCAGCACACCUGUGCUGCGGCGCAGAUGUCUCGAGGACUGAGGAAGGACAUGAUGUAGAGAGACAGAAAGCGAGGCAGCACUGCCGUGAAGUCCAUUCGAGUGAUGGGGACUGAUUCUGCCAAGCAAUCACUGGUGAACCUAAAAUCAUAACCAAACAAAGUCAUUGCAAUUUGUAUGAGAAAUUGGAAUUCCUGUGCGUGGUGAGAUAUCUGCACUGAGAAUUUACUUGAGCUGAGUUUUGGAGCAUCUCCUCAGCAGACGACACAUAAAUUCUUUUCUUUGACGGUCUGUCCACAGGUCAAACCAAUGGAGGAUGAGAGUUG